UACGUGGUGGCAAGCGUUGUCCGGAUUUACCGGGCGUAAAGGGCGUGCCGGCGGUUUGUUAAGUGCAGAGGGAAAGCUCCCGGCUCAACUGGGAGAGGUCUUUGCAUACUGGCAAACUUGAGGGAGGCAGAGGAAAGUGGAAUUCCCGGUGUAGUGGUGAUAUGCGUAGAUAUCGGGAGGAACACCUGUGGCGAAGGCGGCUUUCUGGGCCUUACCUGACGCUGAGACGCGAAAGCGUGGGGAGCGAACAGG
rnacentral:rRNA from 1 species